ACCGGAAACCACGCGCAUACACGCUCGUUAAUGGGCUUAGGUAUUAGCGAGUCCUAACGAUGCAUACAAAUGUGCUCAGCGCUCCGUAGGCCGCUCAAGAUUUAUGGGCCUGGAGCUCUCUGAAGCUGUAAACAAGGGAAAAAAAAGGAGAAAGCCAGAGAGACUGGGGGAGAGAGACCGAGGCCUGCCUUGGCCCUCCAGGCCCGACCAGAGAAGGGUUCCUAGGUAUUUGCCUAAGCUCCGGGCGAGUGGCGUUUCCCGCCGAGGCCGCUGUGCGUCCGGGCAGAGGGUUGCUAGUGUUCGGGGCAGGUGGGCGCCUGCCUCGUCUGAACCUAGCAGGCAUUGGUGGGCGUAUGCGGGUGAGUGUGUGCUCUGGGCCAGCCGUGUUGGGGUGUGUGGGGGUGUGUGUGCACGCACGUGUGACCCGCAGGCCUCUGUCCCCAGGACCUGUGAACAAACCUCUAACAACCGACCUAAUAACAAUAAAUAACGUGAUGAUGAUGAUGAUGAUAAUAAUAAAAACAGUAGUUAACAGCCCCUCCCUAGCAGGAAAACAAUAAAAAGCCGGAGGAGCAGGGGACAGAAGCAGCAGUGGAGACUACAGACUGUGCCGGAGGGGAAAACAAGGAAGAAAGUUAGCGCCUCCGUACGUGCAGCCCCUCCCCAGACAAGGUCCGGGCCUGGGGCGCGGCGGGAGACCGCGCCGGGAGGCCCCGCUUCCCUGUUGCUUUCUCGCGGCUUUGUGCGAUCAAGGAGGAGACCCCACGAGUGAGGGUGGCCGGGGGCAGGGAGGGUGCCUUGUGGAUUCUCUGUGUGGAAGAAGAGGCCGAGCAUCCAGGGGCAGGCCGAAGGGAGAGACGGAGGAGGCGGUGACCACAGCCUCCGUGCUGGCCGCCCGGGCCGCGGAGGUGCGGGGCCGGCAGGGACGCGGGGAGACGCGCACGGCCGCCCGGGAGAGGGCAGAGCCAGGCCGGGGCCCCAGCAGGCCCAAGGAAACUUCCUUUCCCGGCGUCUUUAAACAAAAAACAAACAAAAAACCCCAAGGGAGGAGUGGAGGCGCCUUGAAUUUUCCUCCGCGAGGUUGGAACCGAGGCUUCGGCCCAGGAAGCGAAGCCCGCGGGUCGGUCCCGGAUCCUGCACUGUCCUUAUCCCGCGCAGAACCGGCAACGACGCAGCGGAAAACAGAAAACACGCAGCAGCCAACUUUGUCAACGGAAAAGGCACCCUAAGGAACGCGCGUGAGAACUUGUGCAGGCUGAAGUCCGCGCACGUUUCGAGGUUUGCCUUUUCUUCCCCCGAGAGAGCGGUGACCCCUCUGGCGCGGGGAGAGGCGGAGAACUCCCUUUAGACCCGACCCAUGCGCCUCGCGACGCGGGCCGCUGGCCCCGGCCCUCCGCACUCCGGACGAAAAGGCAAGAAGAAAAACAGAACGGGUGGCCGCGCGGCCGGGCGCAGGGCGCGGGGAUCGGGUCCGGCCCGGGAGAUGGCGCGCGAGCGCGCGGGGGACCCGCCAGGCACCGGCUGGCGACUGGCUCGGCCUCGGCCUCCGCCUCCCCAGCGCGGCCUGCAGCCCCCGUGCCUCUGAAUCCUCUCGGCUCCCGGGCCUGGGCCCGUCUUCCCUGAUGAGGGGGGCAAAGUGACCCAAGCCAGACUGGGCCUUCUCGGUUUUUCUCCUGUAGGCCUGGCCGCUCGCCUCCACGCUCAGCUACUGGGAGAAGGCCAGGCAGGGCUGCUGGGAUGCCUCGGGGCGGCCACUGCCUUCCACCGCUCCCUCUUGGGUUCCCGAAGUCCAGUAACCCCCAGCCCCCCUGGGGGUGGGGGAGAGGGGCAAUGACCAGUGUCCAGACCCCUCAGCCCCCUGUCCGGUCUUCAGGAAUAUCUCCCCGAGCAGCAGAAGAAAGGGAGGGGAGCUUGGAGCGGUGUUUACAUCUCGGUCUCCCGAUCCAUUCACAUCUGGAGGGUUUAUUUAUAACUCCCGCUAUAACUCUCUCUGUUCCGAGGCACUGGUGGCUCUCUUGACAGACUGAGGUCUACAAAAUAUUGCUUUAUCUCUAACCGUACCUAAAUGUGCUGUGGUUGUAUUUUCAGAUUUAUGCUUCAGGAAAAUAUAAUUAUUUCCAUUGUAUUUGUGCAUAUACAAUAGUUAUAGAAGCAGAUUUAUAUAUGGGAAAAUAUAUGGCUCUCUUAUAGCCAUCCAGCUUUAUGGACAUUUGAUACCCUGACAGGUUUAUGUCUCUGAGAGCCAUAUAGAUAAAUGUAUAUCAUUAGAAUUAUGUAUCGGGAGAGAGAUGCUUAUUGAUUGUGAUAUAGAGUACUUAGAGCAUUCAGUUACAGCCGUAUAUGGCUACGGAGAUAUUUCUAUAGUAUUAUCACUAUAUAUAGGCAUAUCUAUUUAUAACUACAUAGUUGUAAAAAUAGACGGAAGUAAUUAUCAUCGUAUAUGUACGGCCUCUCUCUUCUCUCUCUCUUUCUCUCUGGAGUUACAGGCACUUUCAAAGGGAAGUCUGUGGAGAUACCCGUAUGUAUAUGAGGUGCAGUCACGGCGUGAUGCGUGUGCACUGGGACCUAGGCCGGCCUGUCUCGGAGCGGACGCAUUUCCACGGAGGGGCUGGAAGAGACUUGUUCACAGAGGCAUCUGCGAAGCUAUGUCAGGCUCUCUAGGAAAUCGGCAGCCCAGUUCUUUACUUAGCGAGGGAUGGAGUUACAAAGGGUGAACAGGGCACUGCAAGUCUCCAGAAGGGGAGGCCGCUGGAGGGUGCCCCGGGCUCGGCGCGCACAAACAGAGCGGAAGAAGAGGGGUAAGCGCCCAGGCGCCACCGGCAUCCACCAGGAGGCGAGAACCGGUUUCGCCUGGGCCUGGUGAAGACAGGUGUGGACAGGGAGCUUGCAGAAGGGGAGCCAGUGCACGGAGCCCCCACCCCACCUGCCACAGGGGGCCAGGUCUCCGCUUUUAGUGCACCCGAGGCUAGCAGCAGUCCAGCAUUCCUGGCGUGGUUUUCUUGAACCCUAAUUUGUAAGUCUGCAAGUAUGGACUUCCGAGGUGAAGAGGGUUGGGGGGGGGGGACAGCAGACGGCGGGGAGCACACUUCCUGCUGUCUCUGAGCCAGGAAAGUGAGGUGAGCACGGUCGGAGAAAGCUCACCCCCCCCCCCCCACCGGGCCUCCCAUGCUCCAGGGGCUGAUGUGUGGCGGGGAUCCUGAGCCCAGGCGGCGAUGGGGCGGGGACGCUGCCCGCGGGCUCGCCAAGGCCUCCCUUCCCACCUGUCCCUUCUUUGCUCCUUCUAAAGUUUCCCCAGCCGCCGCCCACCCCAGCGGAAAAUGCCACCCCCUUCACUUCAUUUUCUUUUAAACCAGGAGUCAUAGACAUCUUUGCCGAAUGGUUGUGCAGAGCACUUUCCCGGGUCAGUCUCAGCAGCCAGCCUGCCUCCCAAGAUCUCUUGGAUGCUGGAAAGGAGUGGAGACCCCCGGCUGGGGUUCAGAUCCACGCACCUGCCACCCUCCACACACCCCACAGGACUGGGAACUCCUCCAGAGAGGGCGCCCGUGCUGUCACCCCAAAGCUUGCCCUCACUGCACACCACUGGGGCCAUAGGCAGCUAGCAGGCACCUGGGGUCCCAGGCAGGAGGAGCCCCUACCCAGGCAUGGCGCCUGGCGUGUAGUUAGUGGGGCUGGGAGAACAAGGCAUCCUGAUCCAGGAAGUUGGGUGGGGGGUAGCAGGACCCGUGUCCCCAGUGCACCUUGGAUUCUUAGCCGCCCCCCCCCCCCCACGUACGGAAGCUGAACUGAAGCCCGAACCCCGGGCUGUGAUGGAGCUGCCUGCUGGCCUGUGGGGCCCCGAAAGGAGCCAUCGCUCGGUCCAUUAGGAAAUACACAAAUAAAACCGGAAUUAUACAUCAGCGGGAGACAGACAGCCUGGCCAAAGGAGAGUCUCUGUGUGCCUCAGGCCUGAACCAGGGACACCAAGUGCAGGCUUAAUAUUUUUAUAAUUUAAUCGAACAGUUCGCGUUUUUUUUAACUUCAGAAAACUCACCAAUUUUCCAAACCAGUAAUGCCUCCCAACCGGAGUGUUUUGGAUUUUUAUUCAUUUUUUAAAGCACUUUAUUUAUUCGAAAGGCAGAGCAACAGAGAGGAGAGAGAGAGAAGAGAGAGAGAGAGAGAGAGAGAGAGAGAGAGAAGUCUUCCAUUAGCUGGUUCACUCCCCAAGUGCCCACGACAGCUGGCAGUGGGUCAGGCUGAAGCCAGGAGCCUGGCACCCCAGCCAGGUCUCCCACAUGGCUGGCAGGAGCGCUGGUACUGGAGCCAUCGCCUGCUGCCUCCCAGGGUGCCAGGAGCAGGAAGCCAGUGGUAAGGACAUCCCCGCUGUGCCACACGCCUGCCUCUCACGCAUUUCUUUUUCAUUGUUAUCAUUUCCUUUUUGGACUCUGUAAAACAGCUCCUCGGAGGAGCUUGGGGCCAGGCUGGCCAGGUGUAACAUUCCCGCAUCGGGCGAGGACACUGGUGUGCGUGGCACAGGUCAGCCUCCCCUUCUGCCAUCAAGGCUGAGAGUGGGGAGGAUCUCCCAAAUUUGAUUCCUUUUCUCCCUAAGGAUCCUUAGAGGCAUCCACUGUGUGUCCCAGCGAGAGACUGCGGCCUAGGAAAGGGGCGACACUAAACCCAGAAUCCCAUUCCCUGGCCCCAAGUUCAACCAUUUUCUCCAGAGUUCUAGCUCUCCCCUCCCUCCCUCGUCCUCUCCCCAGUAACACCUGAGGCCCUGGAGCAACGCUGCUGUUUUCCCUUCAGAAAUGCAAGGAGACCCAAGUUCCCGUAUUUACAUAUGUUUGCCUGCCUGCGGCUCCAGGCUGCAGCCUGGGCUCCGGCUGGGACACUCUGCAAACUCCGGGACCUGCAGGCUGCACGUGAGGACAGUCCCUGCACCUAAGCGGGAAACCAAGAGCCAGCGGCCAAUUGGACUGAGCCCAGAGAGCCGUGUUCCCUUUCCUGGGCUGUUUCUGGGGGCCAGGCCCCCAUUGGGGAGCAGACAAAACAAAGGGCUGGAUGCACAGCGCCCUGGACUGUUGCUGGAGAUACCUGAGUGCUAGAGGCCGCGGUGUGAAGGUUGAGCAGCCCCAGAGUGCAUUCCCCUUCCUGGCAGGGACCCAGUAAGGAGGGCAUUUCGCCCUUCCUUGGCCCCCCUGCUUGGGUGUCCAGGAGCUCUUCCCUAGACGCGGCCCCUGCAGCCCUUGGCCCUUGGCAAAGGCCUCGUCCUUUUUGGCUUUGCCAGAGCAGUGCCUUGCAGAGGCCUUGGGCGCUCAGGCUCAGCUCCGCACCCUUCCACCCUCUGCCCACUUCCUCAGCUCAUUCCUGGGGGCGGGGGAAGGGGUGUCUGGAGCCCGUGGCAGGCAGCAGCAGUGGAGGCCUUGGCCAUAAGGGGACCCAAUUCCCAUCUCCAGUGCAAAGUUGGAUGCCAGGAGCAAGUUGCAAUUGCUGUAAUAAUCGCCAUCCUAAUAACAAUAAUAAUUUAUUUAGCAUAUCA